rnacentral:rRNA from 1 species
UACGUAGGGUGCGAGCGUUAAUCGGAAUUACUGGGCGUAAAGCGUGCGCAGGCGGCGCGUUAAGACAGGUGUGAAAGCCCCGAGCUUAACUUGGGGAAUUGCGCUUGUGACUGGCGUGCUGGAGUGUGGCAGAGGGAGGUGGAAUUCCACGUGUAGCAGUGAAAUGCGUAGAGAUGUGGAGGAACACCGAUGGCGAAGGCAGCCUCCUGGGCCAGCACUGACGCUCAUGCACGAAAGCGUGGGGAGCAAACAG